rnacentral:rRNA from 1 species
AUGAACCUCCUUCGGGAGGGGAUUAGUGGCGAACGGGUGAGUAACACGUGGGCAAUCUGCCCUGCACUCUGGGACAAGCCCUGGAAACGGGGUCUAAUACCGGAUACGACCUGGGAAGGCAUCUUCCCGGGUGGAAAGCUCCGGCGGUGCAGGAUGAGCCCGCGGCCUAUCAGCUUGUUGGUGGGGUAAUGGCCUACCAAGGCGACGACGGGUAGCCGGCCUGAGAGGGCGACCGGCCACACUGGGACUGAGACACGGCCCAGACUCCUACGGGAGGCAGCAGUGGGGAAUAUUGCACAAUGGGCGAAAGCCUGAUGCAGCGACGCCGCGUGAGGGAUGACGGCCUUCGGGUUGUAAACCUCUUUCAGCAGGGAAGAAGCGAAAGUGACGGUACCUGCAGAAGAAGCGCCGGCUAACUACGUGCCAGCAGCCGCGGUAAUACGUAGGGCGCAAGCGUUGUCCGGAAUUAUUGGGCGUAAAGAGCUCGUAGGCGGCUUGUCGCGUCGGAUGUGAAAGCCCGGGGCUUAACCCCGGGUCUGCAUUCGAUACGGGCAGGCUAGAGUUCGGUAGGGGAGAUCGGAAUUCCUGGUGUAGCGGUGAAAUGCGCAGAUAUCAGGAGGAACACCGGUGGCGAAGGCGGAUCUCUGGGCCGAUACUGACGCUGAGGAGCGAAAGCGUGGGGAGCGAACAGGAUUAGAUACCCUGGUAGUCCACGCCGUAAACGUUGGGCACUAGGUGUGGGCAACAUUCCACGUUGUCCGUGCCGCAGCU